UGCCUCGCAAUUGCCUUUGUAGGCCAAGAUA
rnacentral:piRNA from 1 species